rnacentral:lncRNA from 1 species
CUGGGUGACACAGCGAGACUCCAUCUCAAAAACAACAACAACAACAACAACAAAAACCCAGCAACGUUGUUCAAAUGUACAGUUGUAUGUUCUGGCUGUCUAACAAUCUAUUGGACAAUCUAUUGGAUCUACUGUAUUUCCAAAGUAUACCUACUACAUCUUUACUCCAGAAACCUCAGCUCUGAGAAUUUUUUGUAUUACCAUGUAGGAUGAUAUCCUGGGCACUAUGGAAGAUAUAAAUAAUUCCCCAAAACAAUACUAUCUACUCUUUGUAAAUCAUUUAGUUCAUUCUUUACUACGUAUUUCCACUGAACUCUUCCACGAUCCUUAGCCCACAAUGACUUCCCCUUCCUCUGAACUUCUCCAACCACUUAAGUGUUGGCUUAAGUACCUAAAGAAAUAAGGGGGUU